UACGGAGGGUGCAAGCGUUAUCCGGAUUCACUGGGUUUAAAGGGUGCGUAGGUGGGCAGGUAAGUCCGUGGUGAAAUCUCGUGAGCUUAACCUCAGAAACUUGCCGUGGAUACUAUUUGUCUUGAAUAUUGUGGAGGUGAGCGGAAUAUGUCAUGUAGCGGAUGAAAUGUCUUAGAUAUGACAAUAGCAACACCAAUUGCGAAGGCAGCUCACUACAUCAAUUAUGACGCUGAGGCACGAAAGCGUGGGGAUCAAACAGG
rnacentral:rRNA from 1 species